UUCAUAAGGAUUACAGAUAUUUGGAAGAUUAUAGAUAUUAUAUUUGGAAGAUUCCUAAGCAUGCAAAAUAAAUACUAAAUAAAAAGGAUAAUUGUUGAUAUUUGAUGGGGCAGGGCAUUUACAAUGACUAUCACUUUCGAUCGUGAAAAACUUCUUUAUUGGAGAACAAAGCUGUCUCGUGCGUGUAACAAAAGUAGCGAUCCAGACAGUUACACUUUUGUACAAUUGCUCAGUCAGGAAUUGCAAUACACACAAAAGAAUGACACUUAAUUAAAGAGCUUACUUGAUAGAGAUUGAGACUUAAACAUAUUACGACUAGCAAUAUUAUACAAAAAUAUGUUCCAUUGAAAUUAGAUACAUAAAAUUCAGACAACCUUGAAAAACAUGAGAAUAUUUCAUUUCACCUUUACUAGAACUAUUUAAAAAAUAGAAAAUAUUGUAUAUAGGUGUCCCAAAUUACCCAUAAUAAAUAUUACAUUUCGACAUACCAGAGAGCACGAAAUUUUCACCUUUUAUUAGCAAAUAUUUAUUAGUUGUUUCAUAUUUAAAAACUAAAUAUAUUAUAACCACAACAUUUUUCUAUUAAAUUUUUUGUUUAGACUGUUCCAUAGAACCUAUAUUUAAAAAUAUUACCAGUGUUUCGGAUCACAAUAUAUGUGUAGCAGAAACGUACUCAAUGGCUAUGCAGUGAAAAUCCACUAUACGAGCUAUCUUCUUAUCGAUGUCCAUAUUGUUUUUCAGAUUAGUUUUGUCGUGAAUAUUUAAUAUCAGCAAUUGAUUCAUACGUAGGCGGUGUGCUCUUGGCACGCCAACAGCUGUAUUACUUAGCAACAGGCACAAACACGCGUAAAGUGGGAAAGGACAACGUACUACUUCCAUCCUUCUCUUAUAUUUUCUUCUUUCCAACAGAAAUAAUAUCAAUUUCUGUAUGCGUACAGGAGCUGUAUACCAUUGAACACUGUAUCUGCAAAAUAAUAAUCAGUCAAUAAGAUGAUUAUUUAAAAUACGUAAUAUAUGAUUGUGUUAUAAACUUAAGACUGUUCCAUAGAACCUAUAUUUAAAAAUAUUACCAGUGUUUCGGAUCACAAUAUAUGUGUAGCAGAAACGCACUCAAAGGCUAUGCAGUGAAAAUCCACUAUACGAGCUAUCUUCUCAUCGAUGUCCAUAUUGUUUUUCAGAUUAGUUUUGUCGUGAAUAUUUAAUAUCAGCAAUUGAUUCAUACGCAGUCACUCCUAUGUAAAGAGAUGCAUACGUGUGCAGCAAAGUCAAAUAAAAAGUCUUUUCUUCAUCAACGAAAUAUUCAGUUUCAAUUAUAUUGUAAAGUGGGUGAGAUUCAUUUGCGAAUAAAAAGGUACCAAGAAUACAAGGCAAUAGUGGCAAAAGAGAAAGAAUAAGUACGCUGCAUGCCGUAAAAGCUGUAAAGAUGUUUUAUAAUAAUUAAUGAAAUAGAUGAAUCACUUAAACUGAUAUUCUUUAUUAUCUCAAAAUAUUGCCUAUACAUAUUAUUUAUAUUUUAGUAAUUUUUCAUUGUUAAAGUAUUCUGUAAUUAUUUCAUCGUUUGACUGCAAAUUUAUUUCAAUUGUACGAUGUCAACAUUGUUAGAGUAAGAAAUAAAUUAUGAAAUCUGUUGAAUAUAAACGUACUUCACAAUUUGUAUUUAUUUUUAUCCUUGUAACUUUAUAUAUAUCUUUUAUCCUCACCUAAACUAACUGGAAAGUUUCUUUACAAAAUGAGAAGCUAUUGAAAA